rnacentral:pre_miRNA from 1 species
AGAGGGAUAGCUGGGUCAAAUGGUGUGGUUCCAUUUCCAAUUUUCCAAGGAUUCUCCAUUCUGCUUUCCAUAUUCGCUGCACCAAUUUGCAGUCCCACCAGCAAU